UAACUUUGAGCGGUGGAUCACUCGGCGUGCGUCGAUGAA
rnacentral:rRNA from 1 species